UACGUAGGGUGCAAGCGUUAAUCGGAAUUACUGGGCGUGAAGCGUGCGCAGGCGGUUUUGUAAGACCGAUGUGAAAUCCCCGGGCUUAACCUGGGAACUGCAUUGGUGACUGCAAGGCUUGAGUGUGUCAGAGGGAGGUGGAAUUCCGCGUGUAGCAGUGAAAUGCGUAGAUAUGCGGAGGAACACCGAUGGCGAAGGCAGCCUCCUGGGAUAACACUGACGCUCAUGCACGAAAGCGUGGGGAGCAAACAGG
rnacentral:rRNA from 1 species